rnacentral:rRNA from 1 species
UACGUAGGGGGCAAGCGUUGUCCGGAAUCAUUGGGCGUAAAGCGCGCGUAGGCGGCCCUGUAAGUCCGUUGUGAAAGUCAAAGGCUCAACCUUUGAAAGCCGAUGGAUACUGCAGGGCUAGAGUCCGGAAGAGGCGAGUGGAAUUCCUGGUGUAGCGGUGGAAUGCGCAGAUAUCAGGAGGAACACCGGUGGCGAAGGCGGAUCUCUGGGCCUGUCCUGACGCUGAGGCGCGAAAGCUAGGGGAGCGAACAGG